rnacentral:rRNA from 1 species
GUAGGUGGCAAGCGUUGUCCGGGAAUUAUUGGGGCGUAAAGCGCGCGCAGGCGGUUCUUUAAGUCUGAUGUGAAAGCCCACGGGCUCAACCGUGGAGGGUCAUUGGAAACUGGAGAACUUGAGUACAGAAGAGGAAAGCGGAAUUCCACGUGUGGCGGUGAAAUGCGUAGAGAUGUGGAGGAACACCAGUGGCGAAGGCGGCUUUCUGGUCUGUAACUGACGCUGAGGCGCGAAAGCGUGGGGAGCAAACAGGAUUAGAUACCCUGGUAGUCCACGCCGUAAACGAUGAGUGCUAAGUGUUGGGGGGUUUCCGCCCCUUAGUGCUGCAGCUAACGCAUUAAGCACUCCGCCUGGGGAGUACGGCCGCAAAGGCUGA